CUGCUGUGCAAAAGAUUCACGUCCAAG
rnacentral:piRNA from 1 species